CAUUGUUGCGGGAAGCUGUAGGGGGACGCAGGAAGGUAGAUGAACCCGGUGAAUGGUAGAACCGGGGUAAGCGUGUAGGAGGAGGACCAGGUAAAUCCGGGCCUCAUAAACUCUGAGACGUGAUACCGAGCCGCUUCAGGCGAAGUCAUUGAUCCUAUGCUGCCUAGAAAAGCCCAGCAGCGAGUUGACAUGGUGCCCGUACCCCAAACCAACACAGGUGGACAGGUAGAGCAUACCAAGGCGAGUGGGAUAACUAUGGUUAAGGAACUCGGCAAAUUGCCUCCGUAACUUCGGGAGAAGGAGGACCCCAGUAGCGUGAUGAGACUUGCUCUCUGAGCGUGAAGGGGUGGCACAAAAUUGAGGGAAGCGACUGUUUACCAAAAACACAGCAGCGUGCUAAGCCGUAAGGCGCUGUAUACGCUGUGACUCCUGCCCGGUGCUGGAAGGUUACGGGGAUGGGUUAGUCCUUCGGGACGAAGCUCUGAACCUAAGCCCCAGUAAACGGCUGCCGUAACUAUAACGGUCCUAAGGUAGCGAAAUUCCUUGUCGGGUAAGUUCCGACCUGCACGAAUGGAGUAACGACUUCCCUACUGUCUCAACCAUAGACCCAGCGAAAUUGAAGUACGAGUAAAGAUGCUCGUUAGCUGCAGAAGGACGGAAAGACCCCGUGGACCUUUACUAUAACUUGAUGUUGUGUUUUGUCAUAUGUUGUGUAGGAUAGGUGGGAGACUUGGAAGCAUGGACGCUAGUCUGUGUGGAGUCAUCGUUGAAAUACCACCCUGCAUAUGGUGAGGCUCUAACCUAGACCCGUUAUCCGGGUUGGGGACAGCGUCAGGCGGGUAGUUUAACUGGGGCGGUUGCCUCCUAAAGAGUAACGGAGGCGCCCAAAGGUUCCCUCAGCCUGGUUGGCAAUCAGGCGUUGAGUGCAAUGGCAAAAGGGAGCUUGACUGCGAGACCUACAAGUCGAGCAGGAGCGAAAGCUGGGCAUAGUGAUCCGGCGGUUGCGUGUGGAAGCGCCGUCGCUCAACGGAUAAAAGGUACCCCGGGGAUAACAGGCUAAUCUUGCCCAAGCGUCCAUAGCGACGGCAAGGUUUGGCACCUCGAUGUCGGCUCAUCGCAUCCUGGGGCUGAAGCAGGUCCCAAGGGUUGGGCUGUUCGCCCAUUAAAGCGGUACGCGAGCUGGGUUCAGAACGUCGUGAGACAGUUCGGUCCCUAUCCUCUGCAGCCGGAGGUGAAUUGAGGAAAGCUGUCCCUAGUACGAGAGGACCGGGACGGACGCAGCUCUCGUGUGCCAGUUGUCCUGCCAAGGGCAUGGCUGGUUAGCGACCUGCGGAAAGGAUAACCGCUGAAAGCAUCUAAGCGGGAAGCCUCUUCCAAGAUGAAUUCACCCACAGGGUUAACCUGGUAAGGCCCGUGGUAGACCACCAC
rnacentral:rRNA from 1 species